ACAGCAGCCUCACCUCUGUCAUGCUCCUGCAUUAGGAAACUCAUCUUCCACAGAGAUCUGGUGAGGAAGCAUCCUGUUCCUUGACACAGCAGAAGAUUUGGACAGAUUUUCCGAGAUUCAUCUAACUUAGUCUGAAUGGCUGGCACAAGAAACAGUUCUGUCCUUAAUGCAGCAAAAGAGCAGAAAGAGUUAAAAAACAUGAACAGUACUCUUGAAUUGCUGAAGAUUGUACAGCAAAAGCUGUGAGAAAAAGUUGUGAGAAAGAACUGCAG
rnacentral:lncRNA from 1 species